rnacentral:rRNA from 1 species
CCUACGGGUGGCAGCAGUGGGGAAUAUUGCACAAUGGGGGGAACCCUGAUGCAGCGACGCCGCGUGGGUGAAGGAGUACUUCGGUACGUAAAGCCCUAUCAGCAGGAAAGAAAAUGACGGUACCUGACUACGAAGCCCCGGCUAACUACGUGCCGGGCGCCGCGGUAAUACGGAGGGGGCAAGCUGUAACCGGAUUUACUGGGUGUAAAGGGAGCGUAGACGGCAGUGCAAUGCCGGCGUGAAAGCCCGGGGCUUAACCCUGGGACUGCUCUGGAAACUGGAAAGCUGGAGUGCGGGAGGGGCAGGCGGAAUGCCUGGUGUAGCGGUGAAAUGCGUAGAUAUCAGGAGGAACACCGGCGGCGAAGGCGGCCUGCUGGACCGUAACUGACGUUGAGGCUCGAAAGCGUGGGGAGCAAACAGGAUUAGAUACCCUUGUAGUC